rnacentral:lncRNA from 1 species
GACUGUACGUUGGGAAGGUUAGCAGAGGGGAGGGAGGCCUCCACUGUCACACUGAGCGCGGUCCCGGCUCCUUGUCCCUAUCCACCCCUCCCCCGCCCCCAGCACCCCGGCAGCCCCUCGCUGUCCCCUUCACUUCCAUCUCCAAGAAAGUGGACCUGACCCCUACAGCAUCAUUUUGGCCAAAAGUCGUUCUCUCCCCUUUCUGAAGGCUUAUUUGUGGUCCUUUUUAGGAUUUCAAAGCCCCAAACAGAUCUACCCACUGAGGCGGCGGAGAAAAGGAGUUCGGCAGGUGCAGCGCUGUCAGGAGAUGAGACAAGCUAGACACACACCUGCUCUGAGACAGUGGGCUGACAUGGGGGCAGCCUUGUCCGGUGGGACCGUCCAAGACGAUGGGAGUGUCCAGUACGGCAGCCACGAGCCACGUGUGGCCAGUGAGCACUUGAAAUGUGCCAGCGUGACUAAGGAAGUAUCUGCACAUCUGAGCUAUGAAUUCCGCGUAGGAGACGCAUUUCCAUGAGAAACGGGUAAACGUUUGCGAGACUGUGGCUGACCCUUUUUUUUUAUUAUCCAUCAAGUAUAUCUCUUUUUACCAUCUGAUGGCUUGGCGUCAGGACCAUUCUUUUUUCAAACAAAAUAAAUGUGCCUGCAACGUGGCA